rnacentral:rRNA from 1 species
GUGGGGAAUUUUGGACAAUGGGCGAAAGCCUGAUCCAGCCAUGCCGCGUGCAGGAUGAAGGCCUUCGGGUUGUAAACUGCUUUUGUACGGAACGAAAAGGCUCUGGUUAAUACCUGGGGCUCAUGACGGUACCGUAAGAAUAAGCACCGGCUAACUACGUGCCAGCAGCCGCGGUAAUACGUAGGGUGCAAGCGUUAAUCGGAAUUACUGGGCGUAAAGCGUGCGCAGGCGGUUUUGUAAGACAGACGUGAAAUCCCCGGGCUCAACCUGGGAAUGGCGUUUGUGACUGCAAAGCUGGAGUGCGGCAGAGGGGGAUGGAAUUCCGCGUGUAGCAGUGAAAUGCGUAGAUAUGCGGAGGAACACCGAUGGCGAAGGCAAUCCCCUGGGCCUGCACUGACGCUCAUGCACGAAAGCGUGGGGAGCAAACAGGAUUAGAUACCCUGGUAGUCC